AUUGAACGCUGGCGGCAGGCCUAACACAUGCAAGUCGAACGGGGUGUAGCAAUACACCUAGUGGCGGACGGGUGAGGAAUACAUAGGAAUCUGCCUCAGAGUGGGGGAUAACCCGGGGAAACCCGGACUAAUACCGCAUGAUCUCGCAAGAGCAAAGCAGGGGACCGCAAGGCCUUGUGCUCUGAGAGGAGCCUAUGUCUGAUUAGCUAGUUGGCGGGGUAAUGGCCCACCAAGGCGACGAUCAGUAACUGGUCUGAGAGGACGAUCAGUCACACCGGAACUGAGACACGGUCCGGACUCCUACGGGAGGCAGCAGUGGGGAAUAUUGGACAAUGGGCGAAAGCCUGAUCCAGCAAUGCCGCGUGUGUGAAGAAGGCCUUCGGGUUGUAAAGCACUUUAGUCAGGGAAGAAAAAGCUCAAGCUAAUAUCUUGAGUGUUGACGGUACCUGAAGAAUAAGCACCGGCUAACUCUGUGC
rnacentral:rRNA from 1 species